CGGGGGGGCGAAGCGUUGUUCGGAAUUACUGGGCGUAAAGGGCUCGUAGGUGGCCAACUAAGUCAGACGUGAAAUCCCUCGGCUUAACCGGGGAACUGCAUCUGAUACUGGAUGGCUUGAGUUUGGGAGAGGGACGCGGAAUUCCAGGUGUAGCGGUGAAAUGCGUAGAUAUCUGGAGGAACACCGGUGGCGAAGGCGGCGUCCUGGACCAACACUGACACUGAUGAGCGAAAGCCAGGGGAGCAAAACGGGAUUAGAUACCCCGGUAGUCCUGGCCCUAAACGAUGAAUGCUUGGUGUGGCGGGUAUCGAUCCCUGCCGUGCCGAAGCUAACGCAUUAAGCAUUCCGCCUGGGGAGUACGGUCGCAAGGCUG
rnacentral:rRNA from 1 species